rnacentral:lncRNA from 1 species
UCUUUUUAAUAUGUUUCUGUGAACUCUUUAUUAGUAUUGUGAAUUUUAAAAGUCUCCAUCUUGGUCUAGCACCCAAAAAUUGUGCACACCCACCUACACGGGCAUGCGCUAGUCAAUGACUAAUCAGAAAUAACUAACUGCCCACCUGGGCUGUCCUAAGCCAAGCUAGAGCCAACCAUUGGAUUUGUGAGACACAGGAAGAGAGGUAGGGAACAGCCUCUGAGAUUGGCGGAACUUCCUGUGGAGAGAGCUAGGGGGGUUGGUGUUAGGAGCUUGGAGAGAGAGGACGCCCGCAGACAGCUUUCCUUCAGAUCGGUCACGUGAGUUAAGGACGGGUUCUUUCCACCUGGGCCUUUAGGCCUAAACUCCCUCUGCCUUGGUCAGAGGUUGAGUAGCCUCUUUCCCUUUUCUCUUCUCUCCUUCUCUCCCUAACCUUUUCCCUACUCCCAGUGUGAUUAAACCUCCAUAAACCUCAUUCUGACUUGAGUGUUUCAUUUUAGGAAUUUCAUAAGUAAAUUCCUUGGCGGCCAUUGUUAAUAUUAUAUAAAUCUUGUAGCCACAUUUGUAACCAUUACUAUAUUAUAACCUUCUCCCAGAAGCCUUAAAUUUCCCCAUUACAGUUUGGCUAACCACUACGGGAAAAAAGAACCUUAUCAGUCUUCUGAUCUCCUUACUAUCACCUGGGAGAAAUCCCACCCCGGCUACCCCCCCCUGGCUCUUGGCCCUGCCUUAGUGCUUGGAAGGUUUCUAGAACCUCAAUAAAUUUCCUGAAUUUUCUUGCCUUUUCAACCCACUUAUUGCUCACUCCCUCAGUCCUGUUACCAAAUACCUUGGCUUAAAGACACAGCUGCCAGAACAGAAUUUAGAAAUUAAAAAAAAUACCCCUCAGUACUGCUUUAUUUGCAUCUCACAAACAUUGGCCUCACAUUUACCAGAAGAGACUAAGAGUUACUUUGGACUUUGGCCAGAAUUCUCAGUAGCUUCCCAAAAUCUCUGGUGAUUAACAUACUUCUUUGAGAUUAACUCUUAUCUCACAGAAUGUUUUUCUUCAUGAUGAUACUUGAUUAAAGUUUUGAGAUGUGUUUUGCUUAACUAUUUGUUGGAACUAAGGACUUUGGCAAGGUCGUUGAAACCCUGGGAACAUUAUGCAACCUAGAGUUGGCAAAGAGCCUUCUUUGAGGCCAAUGAGAAUUCCCUUUUGGAAAGUGACUUUGAAGUCUCACCUAUGGAAAGAAUUCUUUGCCUAGGCCUGAAUGGGACACACUAAAGGAUAUCUCACAAGACUUCUCAGUCAGAAUACUCAGGCAUACGUGUUUCCCCAUUCAGUGAUAUAUCUUUCUUUUUUG